GAAGCAAGCCAGACAGCCGCUGGCCGGCGCAGCAAUGCGCUGGCGGGAGGAAGGUCCGGACUCCACAGAGCGGGGUGACGGUUAACGGCCGUCCGCUGAAAGUCCUUCGGGAUAUAAGGCGAGGAACAGGGCCACAGAGACGAGCGUAUUAAGUUACGGUGAAACGCGGUAACCUCCACCUGGUGCAAUUUCAAAUAGGCACGCGAUGAUGUUGCUCGCGGAGCGUGCGGGUAGAAAGCUUGAGCGGCGGAGUAAUCCGUCGCCUAGAGGAAUGGCUGUCAUAGCGCGGGUGACCGCGCCGUAACAGAAUCCGGCCUAUCGGCUUGCUUCACUU
rnacentral:RNase_P_RNA from 2 species